rnacentral:lncRNA from 1 species
UGAUUGAAUAAUUUGAUGAUGAUUAGAUUCUUAAAUAAGAAUGAAAUGAGGAAUCAUAUUCAUGUAGAAAACUAUAGUCUGAAUAAAAAUGAAUUCUUCUAUUCAGUAUCACUGAUAAUUACUAAUAAGUAUUUAUACUUUAUAAAACAAAAUAGAUAUAAUCUAAAAAUUGACCAACCAAUUUUAUUAUUCAAAACCAAAUUAACCCCUAGUGCAAUAAUUUGGAAUUAAACUGUAAAUUUAAAUUUGAGCUAAGGUGGCUUCCUCUUGUAUUUAAUAAUAAGACUAUAAUUUUUAACUAAUUUUUCACUGAAAUAAAAAUCAUAUCACUCCAGAAUUGAACUGGAAACUUUGGAUUGGCAUCACAAUGUCUUACCAGUUAGACAGUUGAGCAGGUUUCCAUUUCAGGAAAGACCCCAGGUUCACUAAGAGGAGCUCAUGGUUAUAUAGAUAACCUGUCCAAGAGUGCUAAUAUUGGCCUAAUUUUAUAAGUUUCUAAAAAUUAAUCAUUUCAUAAGGCUCCUGAAAUAUAAAUCUGUCUGAUGCCACAAUAGUCUAUCUUGUAAGAUAUUGGGGUGUUAACCCAAAAUUUUCAGUUCGAUUCUGAGGAUGGCUUUUUUGUUAUUUCAGGAAAAAUUAAUUAAAAAUUAUAGUCU